rnacentral:rRNA from 1 species
CUACGGGGGGCAGCAGUGGGGAAUAUUGCACAAUGGGCGCAAGCCUGAUGCAGCCAUGCCGCGUGUAUGAAGAAGGCCUUCGGGUUGUAAAGUACUUUCAGCGGGGAGGAAGGGAGUAAAGUUAAUACCUUUGCUCAUUGGCGUUACCCGCAGAAGAAGCACCGGCUAACUCCGUGCCAGCAGCCGCGGUAAUACGGAGGGUGCAAGCGUUAAUCGGAAUUACUGGGCGUAAAGCGCACGCAGGCGGUUUGUUAAGUCAGAUGUGAAAUCCCCGGGCUCAACCUGGGAACUGCAUCUGAUACUGGCAAGCUUGAGUCUCGUAGAGGGGGGUAGAAUUCCAGGUGUAGCGGUGAAAUGCGUAGAGAUCUGGAGGAAUACCGGUGGCGAAGGCGGCCCCCUGGACGAAGACUGACGCUCAGGUGCGAAAGCGUGGGGAGCAAACAGGAUUAGAUACCCCAGUAGUC